CCCAGGUUCAACACAGGAAGAGAAGCAGGAAAACAAACCAGUGAGCUGGAGACCCACCAUGCUGGUGACUAUUUCUGCUCCUAUUUCCAGGUGCAUCUACUUGGCUGAGAACUUCCAUGAAUUUCUGAGAAUUCAAGAUGCUAUUUGGAGAAGAGAAACUCAAUUCAAUCAGGAGAAACUCCUUAUAAGUAUAUGAAGAAUUUAAGGACAAGAAGAAAGUUCUCUUUUAUUUCCACUUGUGGGAACUACAUUGUGUUCUCCUCCAGAAGAGGCAUCUCUUGGCUCAGGACAAUUCCUGCUGGGCAAGGUAACCUCUCUGGAAUAUGGGUCUCUGAGCUGGGACACAGCCACUGGAUGAUGAGGAGCACUUCAGCCAUCCCUGUGUCGUGUGAUGCACAGCCAGUGCCAACCCCCCUGAUCUCCCUCCUGGUGCCCCUGGAUCUGGACCUCCCCUAGCUGCCUGCUCUGGAGGGAAAUACCUGCACCCACCCCAACCCCUAGGGAAGGCUCUGGUGACCUGGGCAUCUGGGG
rnacentral:lncRNA from 1 species